rnacentral:lncRNA from 1 species
GGGUCUGGGUCCAGAUGGUUGGGCACUAGUGGGAACCCGCCUGGUGUCAGGGCGCCUAGCAAACAUAGAUUUGGAGAAUUGUUCAUAGUUUUGCACAAAUGUAUAGGCUUGGUCUAAGGUGGCCACUUCACGAAGGACAAGUUCUUUCCUAAGCUCAUCCUUUAGGCCUCGUCGAAACCGGCUCAAGAUCAUACGUUCAUCUUCAGCUACAUUACUUCGUAUCAUAAAUUCGUCAAAUUGGGCGAUGUAAUCAAUAGCUGUGCGGCUACCUUGUCUUAAAUUGUUCCAUCGAUCUAGGAGGUCAGCUUGAUAACUUAAUGGAAGGUAUUUUUUUUUAAUUUUCUUUCAUUUCUACCCAAUCUGUAAUAGCAGGUUGAUGUCUCCUGGCUAACAGUUGUUCGGUGUUUUGCCAAAACAACUUAGCUCGACCAAGGAGUUUCAUUCUAGCGAAUCGGACCUUUUUUCCCUCCGACAGAUUGUACCACUCAAAGAAGUGAUCCAUUUCGUGUAGCCAAUCGGAGAAGACCUUCGGAUCAAGACGACCAUCAAAAGGGGGGGCUUCAAUCCUAAUGCCUCGCAUUACAUCUACAUCAGGGUCACGAGGUUCUCUAGGUUCUACGGUAUGUCGGUGACCUCUAUCAACAUGAGGAAUGGGACCAGGUCCUCUAGGACGAGGGAAGGCAUAAUGGUGACCUGGAACAGACCUAUUAUCAAAGUUGUCCUGCCGAACCGAGCCUUGUU